rnacentral:rRNA from 1 species
GGUUUUUAAACUGUUUUAUGUCCGGGAAAAAAACAAACUUCUUUAUUAACGAGGGGUAAGGACGGGUCCCGUAAGAAAAAACACCGUAUAUUUUGUCGCCAGCAGCCGCGGUAAUAAGUGGGGUGCGAGCGUUAUUCAGAAUUACUGGGCGUAAAGCGCGCGCAGGGGGUUUUCUAAGACAGAUGUGAAAUCCCCGGGCUCAACCUGGGAACUGCAUUUGAGACUGCAUCCCUAGAGUACGGCAGAGGGGGGUGGAAUUCCGCGUGUAGCGGUGAAAUGCGUAGAUAUGCGGAGGAACACCGAUGGCGAGGGCACUCCCCUGGACCUAUACUGACGCUCAUGCACGAAAGCGUGGGGAGCAAACAGGAUUAGAUACCCUGGUAGUCCACCCCAUAAACGAUAUCAACAUGUUAGUUGGGUCUCCACCCACUCAGUAGCAAAGCUAACGCGUAAGUGACCGCC